rnacentral:ribozyme from 14 species
AUAAAAAAAUAAGAAAAAAAAAAGCAAAUCCAGAAACCUAUACAUCGUCAUCCUCCUCUUUCUUGGCUUUUUUCUUUUUCUUUUUUUCUUUUUUUUCUUUUUUAGUUG